GACGAACGCUGGCGGCGUGCUUAACACAUGCAAGUCGAACGGAAAGGCCCUGCUUUUGUGGGGUGCUCGAGUGGCGAACGGGUGAGUAACACGUGAGUAACCUGCCCUUGACUUUGGGAUAACUUCAGGAAACUGGGGCUAAUACCGGAUAGGAGCUCCUGCUGCAUGGUGGGGGUUGGAAAGUUUCGGCGGUUGGGGAUGGACUCGCGGCUUAUCAGCUUGUUGGUGGGGUAGUGGCUUACCAAGGCUUUGACGGGUAGCCGGCCUGAGAGGGUGACCGGCCCCAUUGGGACUGGGGUACCGCCCCGACUCCUACGGGAGGCAGCAGUGGGGAAUAUUGCACAAUGGGCGGAAGCCUGAUGCAGCAACGCCGCGUGCGGGAUGACGGCCUUCGGGUUGUAAACCGCUUUCGCCUGUGACGAAGCGUGAGUGACGGUAAUGGGUAAAGAAGCACCGGCUAACUACGUG
rnacentral:rRNA from 1 species